AUUAAAAACCAUCGUGACCUAUAAUGCUUAGUCACAUUAAUGACCAAAUAAGCUGCUUUAGGCUGUGAUUACCAAUUUACUACAUAGUUUACGUGAACGGGGCAGGCUUUUCCUUGUUUUAAAAACUAAUCACCCUAUUCUGACUGGCAGUGACUGCAAAGAGCUACGCAGAACUGUCGGCAGUCUGAUCCGCUUCUAGGUGGAACAUAAGUUUAAUUAAAUCCAAUCCCAAAAAUGGUACAUGAAUUGGUGGCAAUACGUCUUCCACAAUGAUUGCUUUAAAUCGAUGGCGUAUAAUAUGUCGUGCGUUUUGUCCCGUGUCCUGGCUUCAGAGCUUCAUCUGCCAAGCGCAGCCAUGACUAAAUUAUGCGAAUGGUCACAAAACAAAAAACAUGAGGAUGUCGCAGGGUUACAGGCUGCGCUGUGUGGAACUGUUACAGCGCACAUCGGUUCGGAUCGAGCCUCUGGGCGGUAAAUCGUUAUGCUGAAUCGAACAUCCCAAAUUAUUUUGGCUUGGCUAUGUUGGGCUACUUCGCGGUUGUGCAGUGUCGGCUAAGCAAACGGUGCCUUUUGGUCCAACCGGCGGAAUCAACGCCACAAAUGGGAACCGGUUAGCGGUGAACUUCAUCGUCAACUUCAACCUAACCGGUUACGCGGAGAACUCCACUAUUUCCACUGCCGUCCAAGACCGGGCCAAGAGCUGCAAAUUGGACGAUCUUCCACUGUAUUCAAAAGUUGUUGACAUCAACAUAAAUAAUGACAGUCAACGGCUCCUUACUUAUGCCUGACCGUAUAGUCCGGACGACGUGGAAUUUUUGCUGGAUUAUGGCGGAAAGCGCUGACCAGCGACCGACAAAAGCGUAUCGACUGCAUCAACAGUGCCAUGCAGGCCAUUUAUCAAGGGUUGUCUCUGCAGAUUCUGAACGUCACCGCCAUACUGAACAUGGCCGUGCAGGAUACAACACGGGACUGGAUGGUGCGGCGCAUAACGAAAAGUAUGCAGCUUCUGGCCCACUACAGGCAAGUUAAUUUGAGCUCCAUUGACCGACGAUUCCCUCUCGCCCAAAAUGUAACGAGCCAGAGUGAACUGAUGGCGCUCAGUGCGAACUUGACGGUGGGAAGCCUCACGGACCUGACGCACGUGUUGGCAGGGUGCGCUAACUACACCGCAUUUUACGCAUCCUCGUCGGUAUUCCUUGACCGUAAUAAUGGCACAGCGGCAUUUGCGUGGGUCGUCAUACGAGCGUUGCGCAUCUGCUGUGAUAAUCUGUUUGUUGACACGUCGGUAGCGGAUUUACCUGCAGAUCAUCUACAAUACAACAGUGGCGCAAGCGGCGCAGAACCUGACCACCAAAUGGACGAAAGAUGUGGAAGGCAUGUUUUUGCGCUGCUUCAUCUGAGGCUUGGUUACCGAUGGAUGGUUGCGACAGAUUCAGGAUUUUGUCCAGCUAAUAGCCAAGAACUACUCGGUCGGCAGUGACCUUUGGGCCUAUCACACACCGUCGGAGCCGCCCAUGAGCUCAUCGGUGGUUAUUUUAUCGCUUGCCAUUAAUACAUCCGGAAUUAAUAUCGAUGACCUUAUGACGACACUGCGUUACCAAAACCUUCUGCAGAAUAUCUCCCUAAAUUUCAUCAACGCAAGGCACAUUCUGUGGCUGUAUGGUGACUAGACCACAAAAAAUCCUGUGGAUGCCAGCCAUUACGAGGCAGCCCUAGCGUCCACUCUCACUGGCAUUUUAAACUUUCUUGCUGUCCUCGGCGUCACCGCGUAUUUCGUCCGUCAGCUACGCAAGUCGGAGCGUUACCAGCCAGCUGCCUGUUCCUAAAGAACUGGAACCUGACGAUGAUUUUGAUAACACCUAUAUUGGAUCGGCGGCAGAAAGACUCGUACAACGAAGAGUACAGAAAAAGAACAGGAUAGCACUAUAGCCCCGGACGUAUUUGUCAAAAAGUGUGCGCUAGUCCCAUGGUCCACCUACAGACAACAGUGCAUAGUACAUAAUAUGUACUCAAUCCAGUUCAGCAACAAGAUCCAGCCACGUUAUCGUGAAACACUCACGGACGUCAUGAAUCUACUGCUAUCCCGCCGGAUUUGGAAAUCCCGAUCAGCGUAGUUAAACGAUGAUAUUACGAAAGAUCAACAACGUGCCGUUGCAGUGGCAUGCCUAACCCAGCCUGUUGCAUUCUUGAGAGUUGCCCGGUCCAGUAUUACGUUCGAACUCUGUCCCGACUGAUGGUUAGACAUGGAAGCGUGAACGCGAAGGCGAAAAACCAGCGCCCAGACUGAGAGAACAUACUGCAUUCGCUAACUCUCAAAUCGAUUAUGGCAUGCGCAAAUAGCAGCAGCCGGCAAAGAGGUCAAAAACAAGGACAAGCACAUAAGGACGAAACGUGGCACGACAUGUCGUACGGUCGAUCCUGACGGCUACUGCAAAAAGCUGCCGAUGAAAGAAGCUGCGUUCUUCAUCGAAGCUUGCAAAAAUCUAAAUUCGCCUUUUUCGUUAGUUGCGGUGCGAAAGUUUCGAUAGAUCUCGCACCGUACCUUUUGUGAACCAAAACCGCAGUGCGUUUUGCGACAGUUAUGCGUUGUUAAGCAGUUAAAAUCGGCGUACAAAUCCAUUUCAUUUUUAAGUGAGGCGUUUUUGCGUGGCUUGGAUUUCAAUAAGAUAAGUUUCGAUUGAAGAUUGCGAAAUAUAGCAAACAUAAUUAUUAUUUUUGCUAUCCACGAGCAUGUUUGUACUGUAACUGCGAACA